rnacentral:lncRNA from 1 species
CUGUGGUGGCGGGGUUUGGGGGGCGUGUGGCACAUUCCUGGUGUCAGGGGCUGCAGGGGCUCGGCUCUCCCGGGCCCAGGAGACAGGUGAAACCCUCAGUUUGUUGGGUAGCGAAGGCAGGUAGCUCAGGAAGCAGAGUUCACGCUUGUCUCAAGCAGCCACCUGCCGCCCUGGGGACCUGGAGCAGUGGCCCAGGAGGUUGUGCUCAAGUGACAUUGAGGAGAAACUGUGCAAUUAUCCAGCUGUACUGACACCAUUAGGGAGCUUGUUCUGGAUCACAGGUAAGUCAGAUAAAUAUUUUGGCUUUGUGUAUUUGGGUACAGAGCCUGU